AGUGGAUGGGGAGCAACCUAUGUUGUGCGUGUGUAAAGGUAGUGCCAAGAAAAGCGAUGAUCAUGUUGAAAAUCAAUUCCCGGUACCCGAAACCGACACAGGUGGGCAAGUAGAGAAUACUAAGGGGCGCGAGGUAACUCUCUCCAAGGAACUCGGCAAAAUGUCCCCGUAACUUAGGGAGAAGGGGUGCCACCGAGAGGUGGUCGCAGUGAAGAGGCCCAGGCGACUGUUUAGCAAAAACAUAGGUCUCUGCAAACUCGAAAGAGGAGGUAUAGGGGCUGACGCCUGCCCAGUGCCGGAAGGUUAAAGAAGUUGGUCAGUUUUAGGAUGAAGCUAGCGACUGAAGCCCCGGUGAACGGCGGCCGUAACAAUAACGGUCCUAUGGUAGCGAAAUUCCUUGUCGGGUAAGUUCCGACCCGCACGAAUGGCGUAACGAUCUGGGCGCUGUCUCGGAGAGAGGCUCGGCGAAAUAGGAUUGUCUGUGAAGAUACGGACUACCUGCAUUUGGACAGAAAGACCCUACGAAGCUUUACUAUAGCUUGGAAUUGUGUUCGGGCUUCCUGUGCGCAGGAUAGGUGGGAGGCGUAGAAGGUAUUCUUGUGGGGAUACUGGAGCCAACGGUGAGAUACCACUCUCAGGAGGCUAGAAUUCUAACUUAAUUAAGGACAGUUUCAGGUGGGUAGUUUGACUGGGGCGGUCGCCUCCAAAAAGGUAACGGAGGCGUACAAAGGUUCCCUCAGACUGGUUGGAAAUCAGUCGAAGAGUGCAAAGGCAGAAGGGAGCUUGACUGCGAGAAGUACAGUUCGAGCAGGGUGGAAACACGGUCUUAGUGAUCCGACGGUGCUGUGUGGAAGGGCCGUCGCUCAACGGAUAAAAGUUACUCUAGGAUAACAGGCUGAUCUCCCCCAAGAGUUCACAUCGACGGGGAGGUUUGGCACCUCGAUGUCGGCUCAUCGCAACCUGGGGCGGAAGUACGUCCCAAGGGUUGGGCUGUUCGCCCAUUAAAGCGGUACGUGAGCUGGGUUCAGAACGUCGUGAGACAGUUCGGUCCAUAUCCGAUGUAGGCGUGAGAAUAUUGAGAGGAGCCUUCCUUAGUACGAGAGGACCGGGAAGGACGCACCGUUGGUGUACCUGUUAUGAUGCCAAUUGUAAACGCAGGGUAGCCAAGUGCGGAGAGGAUAACCGCUGAAAGCAUCUAAGUGGGAAGCCCACCUCAAGAUGAGUAUUCUGGUGUAAGGUCACGGGAAGACGACCCGUAAAUAGGCACGAGGUGGAAGUGCAGAGAUGUAUGAAGCCGAAGUGUACUAAUAGACCGUCGGCUUGACC
rnacentral:rRNA from 1 species